CAAAUGGUGUUCCUAAACACCACACUGUUUCGAAUGAAAUGCCAAU
rfam:Picea glauca, whole genome shotgun sequence.